UAAGACGGAGGGUGCAAACGUUGUUCGGAAUCACUGGGCGUAAAGGGCGCGUAGGCGGAUCUGUAAGUCGGGAGUGAAAUCUCGGGGCUCAACCCCGAGCCUGCUUCCGAAACUGCAAGUCUUGAGGACUGGAGAGGAAAGUGGAAUUCCCGGUGUAGCGGUGGAAUGCGUAGAUAUCGGGAGGAACAUCGGUGGCGAAGGCGACUUUCUGGACAGUUCCUGACGCUGAGGCGCGAAAGCUAGGGGAGCAAACAG
rnacentral:rRNA from 1 species